rnacentral:rRNA from 1 species
UGGGGAAUAUUGCACAAUGGGCGAAAGCCUGAUGCAGCAACGCCGCGUGAGUGAUGAAGGUCUUCGGAUUGUAAAGCUCCGUCUUUUGGGACGAUAAUGACGGUACCAAAGGAGGAAGCCACGGCUAACUACGUGCCAGCAGCCGCGGUAAUACGUAGGUGGCGAGCGUUGUCCGGAUUUACUGGGCGUAAAGGGUGCGUAGGCGGAUGUUUAAGUGAGAUGUGAAAUACCCGGGCUUAACUUGGGUGCUGCAUUUCAAACUGGAUAUCUAGAGUGCAGGAGAGGAGAAUGGAAUUCCUAGUGUAGCGGUGAAAUGCGUAGAGAUUAGGAAGAACACCAGUGGCGAAGGCGAUUCUCUGGACUGUAACCGACGCUGAGGCACGAAAGCGUGGGUAGCAAACAGGAUUAGAUACCCUGGUAGUCCACGCCGUAAACGAUGAGUACUAGGUGUAGGAGGUAUCGACCCCUUCUGUGCCGCAGUAAACACAUUAAGUACUCCGC